rnacentral:rRNA from 1 species
UACAGAGGUCUCAAGCGUUGUUCGGAUUCAUUGGGCGUAAAGGGUGCGUAGGCGGCGCGGUAAGUCGGGUGUGAAAUCUCGGGGCUUAACUCCGAAACUGCAUUCGAUACUGCCGUGCUUGAGGACUGGAGAGGAGACUGGAAUUUACGGUGUAGCGGUGAAAUGCGUAGAUAUCGUAAGGAAGACCAGUGGCGAAGGCGGGUCUCUGGAUCACAACUGACGCUGAGGGACGAAAGCUAGGGGAGCAAACAGG